CAAAAUGUAGCUUAAUUUAAAGCACCUUGCUUACACCAAGAAAAUAUCUACUGAACCCAGAUCAUUUUGA
rnacentral:tRNA from 1 species